GGUCGUUUAGCUCAGCUGGGAGAGCACCUCCCUUACAAAGGAGGGUCACUGGUUCGAGCCCAGUAACGACCACCA
rnacentral:tRNA from 1 species